GAUCCAAAUCAGCGGGCAGACUCUGGACGCGCGCCGGGCCCUUCCUGUGGAUCGCCCAGUGCGGUGUC
rnacentral:rRNA from 1 species